UUCUCGUACAUAGGGAGCACGCCGCUUGCAAGCGGAGAAUCACACACAGACACACACAUACACACACACACACAGGCACACACACACAGACACACAUAGCGAGAGCACUAAUGGUGGCAUCGGGUCGCAGCAAGCCGUUGAUGAUCUAUACACAUAUCUCUCCGUGUUUGAUUUUUUACUCAGAACAUACAAAAGGAUAGGAGUUAAACGUAAUAAAACGUAUCUGUAUGAACGGGGGACACGAACGCACACUAUGGUCCGGGAAACCAGACACCUAUGGGUGGGGAAUUUACCUGAAAAUGUGCGAGAGGAGAAAAUUAUCGAACAUUUCAAACGGUAUGGGAGGGUGGAGAGUGUCAAGGUCCUCCCCAAGCGGGGGUCAGAGGGCGGCGUGGCGGCUUUUGUGGAUUUUGUGGACAUUAAGAGCGCCCAAAAAGCACAUAACUCCAUCAACAAAAUGGGAGACAGGGAUCUGCGCACCGACUAUAAUGAACCUGGGACCAUCCCGAGUGCCGCACGUGGCCUGGACGAUAGCCUAUCCAUAGGCUCUCGCGGUCGGGAUGUUUCGGGGUUUGCGAGGGCGGCAGGGGGGCCAGUGUACGGUCCCCCGACAUCUCUCCACAGCAGAGAGGCACGCUAUGAGCGCAGACUGGAUGGGACCUCCGACAGUCGGGAUCGUGCCUAUGAUCACAGUGCCUAUGGACACCACGAACGAGGUGGCGGCGGAGGCGGUGGUUUCGAGCGACCGCGACACUACGAUACAGACUAUUACCGUGACCCGCGGGAGCGCGCGCUGGCCGGAGUUGCCUCCGGCUCUGGCUCAGGUGGUGGUGGGGGCGGGGUCUCCAGUGCGGUUGGCCCGGGGGCUGGAGGAACGGGGGCCGGCGGUGGCAAUGCUGGCGGAGGUGGGAGCGGCGCCGGCGGAGGAGUAAGCGGGUCUGCGUCCGUGCCGGUGGGUUAUUACGGCUCGCGCGGCCGCAGUCCUGGCCGCUUCGAGACGCCGGAGCCGCGCUACGAGGCUCGGCCUCGCGAACCCUUUACUCUGGCCAGUGUGGUUCACCGUGACCUGUAUCGUGAAGAAAGAGGGCGCCGUGGAGAUCGCGUGUACCAGCACAGCCGCAGCCGCUCGCCGCACUCCUCGCAGUCGCUGAACCCCUCCCCACAGCGGCUGGCCAGCCAGGCGGCGCGCCCCCCCCGCUCCCCCAGCGGGUCCGCCUCCGGCAGCCGGUCGUCCAGCUCGGACUCCGUCAGCAGCACCAGCAGCAGCAGCAGCGGCAGCAGCGAUUCCAGCAGCAGCUCCAGUGAUGAGUCUCCGGCACGAUCUGUGCAAUCGGCUGCAGUGCCUGCCCCCUCUGCGCCGCCCCCAUCAGCCCUCGAAAAGGAUGAGCCACGCAAAAGUUUUGGCAUAAAGGUCCAGAACCUUCCUGUGCGCUCCACAGACACCAGCCUGAAGGACGGCUUGUUCCAUGAGUUUAAGAAGUAUGGGAAGGUGACAUCAGUGCAGAUCCAUGGAGCUUCAGAGGAGCGCUAUGGACUAGUCUUCUUCCGACAGCAGGAGGACCAGGAGAAGGCUCUGUGUGCUUCUAAAGGAAAGCUUUUCUUUGGGAUGCAAAUCGACGUCACUGCCUGGAAUGGGCCAGAGACUGAGAGUGAGAAUGAGUUCCGACCACUGGAUGAGCGCAUUGAUGAAUUUCAUCCCAAAGCUACACGGACACUGUUUAUAGGCAACCUGGAGAAGACAACUAGCUACCAUGACCUCCUCAACAUUUUCCAGCGAUUUGGGGAGAUUGUGGACAUUGAUAUUAAAAAAGUGAACGGCGCCCCCCAGUAUGCCUUCUUGCAGUACUGUGACAUUGCGAGUGUCUGCAAGGCCAUCAAGAAGAUGGAUGGGGAGUACCUGGGCAACAACAGGCUCAAGCUGGGCUUCGGGAAGAGCAUGCCCACAACAUGCGUGUGGCUAGAUGGCCUGUCUUCUAAUAUCACAGAACAGUACCUCACACGCCACUUCUGUCGAUACGGACAUGUAGUCAAGGUUGUGUUUGACAGACUGAAAGGAAUGGCCUUGAUUCUGUAUAAUAAUAUUGAGUAUGCGCAGGCUGCUGUCAAGGAAACCAAGGGCUGGAAAAUCGGGGGAAACAAAAUUAAGGUGGAUUUUGCCAAUCAAGAGAGCCAGAUGGCUUUUUAUCGCUCAAUGCAGGCGUCUGGGCAGGAUAUCCGAGACUUCUAUGAAAUCUUAUCUGAACGAAGAGAUGAGCGUAGACCACCUUACCAUGAAUUUUCAGCUGAGCGGGCAUACUAUGAAAAUGUCCGUGCUCCAGGCACCUACACUGAAGAUCCACGCCGCAAAUACCCUGCCAGGAGUCGGGAGUUCUACACAGAAUGGGACCCAUACCAGGGGGACUAUUAUGACCCACGUUACUAUGAUGACCCUCGGGAAUACAGGGAUUACCGUGACCCCUAUGAGCAGGACAUUCGGAAAUACAGUUACCUACAACGGGAGAGAGAGCGUGAGAGGGAACGUUUUGAAACAGACCGUGAGCGUGACCAUAGCCGACGGACUAUUGAACGCAGCCAGAGCCCUUCACAUCCCCGCCGUGCUGCUAGCCCUGCUGCUUCUCCAUCCCCAUCUGAGCGUCUGCCCAGUGACUCUGAGCGCCGCAUCUAUAGCCGCUCCUCUGAGCGGAGCGGAAGCUGCAGCUCACUGUCACCUCCCCGCUACGAGAAACCUGAUAAAGCACAACCUGACUGGUACAGCAAGAAUGAGAAGCUGGAGAAAGAACGGCAGUUAUUUGAGUUAGAACGUGCCACUGGGGGUGAGAAGGAUAAACGGGCUGUGCGUAAGGAAAAAGCAGAGAAGGGGGAGAAGGGGGAGAAGCAGAAGUUAAGGAAGCUGAAGGUGCCGUCCCCCAGUCUCCCCUCAUCUGAGACGGACCCAGAACCAGAUCAGGAGACCAGUCCAGAGGCAGGUCCUCGAUGCAAAGGUGGUAAGGUAACUGUCAAAGAGAAGGACACUGCCGGAAAAGGGCGCCUUGAUCUUCCACCUUGCGUGGUGCAGCUCACACGGGUCAAGGAGAAGGAAGGAAAACUGCUGGAGCAGGCUGCAGGGGAAAAGCAACGCCUGAAGGGUGAGAAUGACACUGUGCGCUCUCCUCCUCCCCUUCCAUCUUCCAUUGACCAAAAAGGACUAACUUCACGCCAGGAUAUUCAGAAGGGAGAACUUCCCAAGCAGUGCAAAGUCUCUAAGGAAAAGGGUUUGGCAAGCCAGGUAGAAGUGGUAGACAGGGAAGUCAAGGUAAAACCUAAAAAGCACAUGAAAUCUGAACCAGGGUUUGAUGGCACUAACUCAACUAUAGAGGUAGACAGACUAGCUGCUCGAAAGAGACGUUUUGGAGAUUCUGCUGGAAAAAUAGAAAGAUUGAAAAGGGGGAUCCAGGAGGAAGAAGAGGGCCGAGUGGGACUGAAGAAAUCAUGUGACAGCAUUAUGGCAAAAGAACUGGAAGCUGAUAGGAAGAUCCUUCGAAAGGAUGCACAUAAGAGGGAGCACCGCAAAGGUAAAUCAGAACGGCUGGUUACUGUCUGUAGCCCAAAAGAAGAGCUGGACACAGAGGGAAUGCCUGUAGGCUUGGGGCUUAGCCUUGACCUGCAGGCACGACUGGGGGAACCAGCAGAGGAGAGCACUGAUCUGGUUGAUUUUCCAGGAAGAAAGACAGGGAUCAUCCUUAAGAAUCAAAGUCACAUCACCCAGAUGUUUCCUGACGAUGUGAGUUUGGAUCAAGAUGAUAUAGAGGAACAGGAGCAACCAAACUUCCUUGAUCUAGUCGACCAGUCUUUGGUGCAGGAAAAAGGUGCUGGGGAGGCUGAUGAACGUCUUUCUGUGGACAUUGAUCACUCUCAAAGCUGCCGCAAACAAAUGGAGCAGAACCGAAGGCUCCGGCAGCAGCUGCAGGAGCAUGACAAGUCGGAUAAGCCUGAAAAUGCACAUGGUGCAGACUCUGAGGAUUUUGAUCGGAGAAGCUUAGUGCAUGAGGUGGGAAAGCCACCUCAGGAUGUUACGGAUGACUCUCCACCUAACAAACGUAAAAAGAUGGAGAUUCUUGAUUUUGAUAUUAAUGUUAAAAGGGAAAGAAACUAUAGAAGUUCACGGCAAGUGAGUGAGGAUUCUGAAAAAAACACUUCCUCGAUGCCAGGGCUAAGGCACUUUCCCUACCAAGAGGAAGACAAUACUGCAGAAUCACCUCGACUGGUUUCUAUAAAAGAGGCCAAAGACUCACCUAAAUUAGAAGUCUACUCACACAUGGAUAUACUGAAGUAUAGCUUUGAUUCAACUAGUAAUCGGGGACGGUCUUCCCAUACUGAAUUGUCUAAAGUGAAAGUUGUGUCUCUGGGGUGUGAGGAGGAGCAGCGCUGGGAGAACAGGGUGAAACAGGACCCAUUACGACUUGACAUGAGUUUCCCAAGCAGCAUUGUGAAACGUGAAGGCAUCCGCAAGCGCCUUGUGCGUGAGCUGGAGCCAGGAGAAGUACAGUCAGACUCUGAUGAGGACAGUGAGAACAAGCACCACUCCCCUAAGCCAUCUACAUCUCUCUCUUUCCUUCUUAGGGAACGUGAAGACAGGUUGUCAGACCUCAAGCUGUCUGGCUCCCUAGAGAGGAACAAAUUUUAUUCCUUUGCACUGGACCAGACUAUAACACCAGACACUAAAGCAUUGCUGGAACGAGCAAAGUCAUUGUCCUCGUCCCGAGAGGAUAACUGGUCAUUCCUGGAUCGUGACUCUCGCUUCGCCAGCUUCCGAAGCACCAAAGAUAAGGAAAAGGUGGAGUCUGCCCCAAGGCCUAUUCCCUCCUGGUACAUGAAGAAAAAGAAAAUCCGUACUGACUCAGAGGGCAAGCUUGAUGACAAAAAAGAAGAACCUAAGCCAGAAGAACAUGAACGACAGGAGCUGUUUGCCUCUCGCUUUCUCCACAGCUCUAUUUUUGAGCAGGACUCAAGGCGCCUGCAACAUCUUGAACGCAAGGAUCAAGACACAGAACUGAACAUUAGUAGAUAUACUGGGAGGCAAAGUUCUACUGAGGUACAACCUGGAACAGGUGGAACUGACCUCCUGCAAGAGCCUAUGGUACUUUUCCAUAGCCGUUUUUUAGAGUUACAGCAACAGAAAGAAAGGGACCUGCGACCCAAAGAGAUAGAGAAAAUUAAUAGUGCUGAUGGGCAUGAGAGGGAAAAGCUGCAAGAAAGUGAACAGGAACAGUCACGGUCAUCGCCAAAAGUGCCUGAGCUGACUGUGGACCAAGACGUUAAACCCAUCAGUCCUAGUGCAGGAGUUGCAGUUUCACAUCCCAUUUCAGUACCUCGAGAUAUGACACCACCUCAGGAUAAACCCAUGGUACAGAGUCUUUCUGCUAAAGAAGAAAAAGGAGUGUAUGUUGCUGAUGUUUACUUGCCUCCUUCACUGCCUGUGGCAGAGAUAUCGCCACCUGUCCCCAGCAGCGUUGUAACCCCUGAGGCCAUUUCCUCUGAGGCAGAAGUUAAAAUGCAUUCUAAGGAAGAGUUGUGUGAAUCCAAGAAUACAGUAAAAAAUACAGUUACUGUAGAACAGUCCUCUUACCUGGAUGUUAAACCUCCUACUCCUGGUGCCUCGCUUUGCAGUUUAGAGCCAGAGCCCCACCCUACGGAGUUUCCAAUUCCUGCUUCCCCUAAAUCUGAGGAAAACACAGAUACUACUAAAGAAGAGGCCUUGUCAGAAAAAUGUGAUCAAACGGAGAAUAAUAUUCCCCAGAAAAUUGAAGAGUCCCAGGAGGUUCAAUUGCUGGUCUCUGAAACUGAGGUUGAGCCAGUGCUGCCACCUCGAAAACAACCCAAGAACAAACGAGCUAAACCAGUCCCAGCACAAGCACCUUCUCUGGUCCAAACAACUGGCGCUGAGAAACCAGCCAUACGCAAGAGUGAGCGAAUUGACAGAGAGAAGCUUAAACGGGCGUCUUCUCCUCGAGGAGAGGCUUUCAAACCAGCCACUGAUUCUAAAAACACUGCUAAGUCCCCGAUUCAUGCUCCAGACUCAGAUCAAAGUUAUGAGGUGAGCUUGCUACAUGGCAGGACUCGGCGCAGAAAUGUAAGGUCUGUUUAUGCAACCCCUGUAGAGGAUGAGACUCCUCAGCAGUCAAGUAAGGAAGUUACAGAAUCCCCUCGUCCUACUCGCAAGCGGUGUGCUGACAGAGAGCUAGUACAGCAGCAGCAGCCUUCUCAGGACACAUUAGCUGCCCCACCCCGGCGAGGACGCCCUCCCAAAACACGUCGGCGAGGAGAAGAUAUGUCACCAGUGAAGGGAGAGCCACCGAAAACAUCAGAGGGAGAAGAAACUGACAGCAAAGACCUUUGUAGCAGCGGCGAAGUUGCCAAAGUCGCUGAAGGGUGGCGUUCACCACGUACACAGAAAGUGCAGCUUAACCAAGGAUCCCCACCUGCUAGCUCUGUACAAAGUCGGAAGGGAGUCAAAGCAGACAAAACAUCUGAGAAUACAGGUCCGCAGGCGGAGCGCUCAGGGGGUGAUGCUGCUGGUAUUUUAGAUUCCACAGCUAAGUCAAAGGAGGAAUUGCUUGAGCAGUGUGGGAAACUCAUAGGAAAUGAGAUACAAGAUAUGACAAUGCAAAAAGGAGAGAAAGACAGUGAUAUUCCAGAUCUAACUGAAAGGAAACUAGAUGAAGAAAAAGCUGGUGAUAAGCUGGAAACGCCAGUCACUGAAAAGCGGCCACCAACUGAGAAGAGUGGAAAAACAAAAGCGCCGAGACUGACACGCAACACUAAGAUGGCAAUAGAGGAUAAUUCCCUGAGCUUGAAGAACCUUGAGAUCCGUUUGAGUGUAGAUGAUGUGAAGGGUGUGUUGCGUUCUGGUGAGGAGGAGUCUGAAUCUUUUGACACCUCUCUAAAAAAGACCAAGUCAGGUGCAUCUGCGAAAGAAGAUUCACUGACACCUCCUUUCAUCAAGGCGUCAGAGCUCAGUUCUGAGAAUAAGGAAGAGGUGUUGUCAGACCCCGAGCCUCCUGCUGAUCCGGCAGCUGCAUUGCUAGCCCGUCAGAUGGAACUGGAGAGGGCAGUAGAGAAUAUUGCUAAACUCAGUGUGGAGCCACCCCUUCCAGUUUAUAAGGAACCUCAAACAGAACCACCAACCUUGAUAUCACCGGUAACAGUGGAGCCAGAAAAUGAGGUUGAGGAAGAGAAGCCUGCAAAUCCUUCUAGUGAGACUGAACUUGAAGCUGCCAUUUAUUCCAUUACUGCUGAAGCAGAUGGAUUCACAGCCCCACCUACUUAUGCAACUCUUGUCCCUACCCCAGAGCCACUGGUAAUCCCCAGUACCAGUGAGUGCAUGGAACCAGAGACAGACGUGGCUAUCAUUAUGGACACAGACACAGGAUUGAUUCCAGAUUCUAAAGUUUCAGAAUCCGCUGCCGGUGAGGCCUCUACCCAGGAUGAGUCUCCUCAACCAAGCACUCCCAGGAAAGGUGGUAAAGUUAGAGCCAAACCGCAAAAGAAGUCUAAAAGCCGUAGAACCCAUACCAACAGGAAGGGGGAUGUGACAGAGGAGGCAGUUUUAGAACCAGAACAUACCCCAGUAAAAAUGCCAGAGUCCAUCCCUGAAGACCCACAGACUCUGAAACCCAAAGUUGGAUCAGCCUCUACAGCAGCUAUUGUCACUACAGCGGCCUCCUGUAAACAGGAAGUUGUACGUGUAACUGUUGAAGCUGUGGAUACUCCUAAGGAAGCAGAACAGCCUGCAGUUGAGCAACCAGAACCCCAAGAAUCUGCCUUUCAUUCAACCAGCAAGCUGCAGCAGCAACCUUCAGGUACAGCAUCACUCACACCUUCUCCAACUAGUCUGAAGUUCUCCCCGACACGUACUUGCAAGCUGCCUGUCCCCCCCCAAGACUGGCAGAAUCAUUCUGAGGAUGGCAGUGUCCUUGCUCCAUCUGCACCUCAAAUCCCUGUUACGGGUCCCUCUACUCCUACAGCCACAGCAGGAGUACCACCUUCUGGAAACUCCACCUUACCACUUGAUACAAAAGCGUCGGACAUUGACCCUAGUUCUAGCACUUUGCGCAAAAUCCUUAUGGAACCUAAGUAUGUAUCAACCUCAAAUAACUCAGCUCCAAGCACACUUCUUACAACCUCCAUGAGGGAUCCACGGAUGUCAGAGAAUGACAAUUCUUGUGAGCUGAUAACUGUCAAGCCCUGCAUACCUGAUGAAAGGCCUUCGACUGUCACCCCCCAUCCUGUACACCAGCAGUCGUCCCUACCACCACCACCUGAGGUCCAGCAAGCUUAUAGUGAGAAAAUGGUCAAUUCUGUAAUAUCCUCAACAGGUACCUCAGUUAUAAGCCGCAUUCCAAUCCCCUUUGAUUCGGACGAGGCACCACGCAUUUCCUUGAGCAGUCGUAACUCGGGGAUGUCACUGCCGAAGCAAAAGUAUCGAUCUGGCAUCAGUGAAAACAGGUAUCAUGGGCUAGCUAUAGGCGAAGAAGGAAGUAGUGGAGGACGAGCUAUGGUAGAGAGUGCAGCCUACAGCACAGGUGCCAGCCCUGGGCUGAGGGUGAACACCUCUGAGGGUGUAGUGGUACUGAGUUACUCCGGACAGAAGACUGAGGGGCCUCAGCGUAUAAGUGCAAAGAUCAGCCAGAUUCCACCAGCCAGUGCAGUUGACAUUGAGUUCCAACAAUCUGUAUCUAAACCCCAGAUUAAGCAGGAGCCACUCACUCCUUCCCAGCCCCCCACCCCAAAGGCUUCACAAACUGCAUAUAGCCACGGUGGGGGGGUUUUAGCUGGUCAGUCUUACAACACUCAGCCUGUCAUCUCUACCAUUAAACAGGAGAUUCCUGGGUCAGACAAGUCAGAAUUAACAUAUCAUUCUGGGCCUCAGGCUGGCACUGUGAAAAUGCACUCGCAGUCUGUUAGCAGCUCGCAGGUUUUGAUCUACAAUCAGGCUAUGCUGCAGCAACAGCAGAAUAUUAAAAAAGGGAUGGUAACUGAUCCAAUACCCCUCAAGGUUGACUCAGGUAAACCUCAGUCCUCUAACCUGAGCCCUGUGAUGAGUCCCCACCACCCCUCUCUGUCUGGGAACCACAUGGGUUCAAGUCCUGGGACACCUACCGACAGAACUGUGCCGCACUUGAAACAAGAGCCUCACUCACCCCGAACUUCGGGCCAUUCACCAUCUCCGUUUUCCAAAGUCUGCCCUCCGAGUAGCUCUGUGUCCCCCAUUGGCACUUCUGUGGUCCUUGGCCCGGGCAUGUCAGCUAUGUCCCAGUUUGUACAUCACCAGGAGCAGUCGGUCAUUAUGCCUCCUCACAGUGUCACUCAGUCUGUUUCUCUGAGCCACCUCUCUCAGGGUGAUGUGAGGUUGAACACUCCUCCUCUGUCUGGGAUAGGCUAUGGGAUGCGUUCGGAGACUCUAGCCUCUCCACGUUCGGGGACCCAGCAGCGCUCAAGCACGCCCCAGCCUGCAGGCAUCAGAGACAUGGUGCUGCAGUCCCACACAGGCUGCACUGGGGGCAGCAGUGGGGCAUCGGAGGAUGAUGUCAGACACUUUCAUCAGGGACUGCGUAGGCCAUCUGCACCUCAGGUGCAGUCAGAUGUUAUGGUGAUGCCAAGUGACUACUGUGGACUGCACCAUGGAGCUAGCUUGUAUGGCCUACCAUCCAGAGAUGUAAGGAUACUAAUGCACCACCAGCUUGGAGAGCAUGCAUCCACAGAGGCACGCCAAGCCCGUACCCCAGAAACUGGCUGCUCAUCUUCCACUAGCAACAUUUCUUCAUCCUCCUCUUCCAAAACCCCACCUGUCGGAAAAGGUGCGACACAGGCAGGAAAGGACUCCUCCAAAACCGCAGAUGUGAAAGUGCCGCAGUCUCCACACGCUGAAGGCCGGAUCUUGGGGGCACAUCCCACUGCGCCUGUCAUGGUGUCCAACCCGGGGGUGCAGCUUCUGCAUGGAGGGGCUGCCAACACAUUCCCAGAAUACUCUGCAGUGUACCGAGACAUGCGGGGGUUUCACUCUCAGUAUGCUGCUCCCUCUGCCAUGGGAAUCAACCUUCCUCCCCGCAGCAUCACCCCCUCACAGGAUGGCGAGCACAGUCACAGGAGCAAAACUGCUCAGGUGUCCUCAGGAGCAGUUGGAGACCUCAAAGCAGAGGCGUCACAUCAUCGUCACGCAGGGACUAUCGACCUCUCCCGAGCACAGGGUGACGCCGGCUCACCGUCGUACGUCUCUCCCGUUCCAGUCUCUCACAAACUGGAUUCAGCGCAAACAUCCGUGACGAAGGGCUCCGUGUCCUUCCUACCGUCUCACCUGCCGUCGUCUGGCUCUGGCCAGAUGCGGGAUGAGAGCAAGCUGGAGCAGACAGCAAGCCGCACUGUGGACAUGGUGCAGCUGCUUAAGAAGUACCCUAUUGUGUGGCAGGGACACUUGGCCCUAAAGAACGAUACAGCUGCUGUCCAGCUGCACUUUGUCUCAGGCAACAACGUGCUGGCACACCGCUCUCUGCCCCCGCCGGAGGGGGGGCCUCUGCUGCGUAUCGUGCAGAGGAUGAGACUGGAGGCCUCUCAGCUGGAGGGAGUCGCUCGGCGGAUGAUGGUGGAGAGUGAUUACUGCCUCCUGUUGGCUCUUCCGUGUGGACGUGACCAGGAGGAUGUCUUGAACCAGACGCAUGCCCUCAAAGGCGGCUUCAUUACCUACCUGCAGGCCAAGCAGGCUGCUGGCAUCAUCAACGUCCCAAAUCCAGGCUCUAACCAGCCGGCCUACGUGCUGCAGAUCUUCCCGCCUUGUGAGUUUUCAGAGAGUCACCUGUCUCGUUUGGCUCCAGACCUGCUCAGCAGCAUCUCCAGCAUCUCGCCCCAUCUGAUGAUUGUUAUUGCCUCUGUGUAGCAGCACCUGUUCUCCAGAGGCCCUUCAUUUCCCAAGUAGCUGGAAAGUUCUCCAGAGGCCCUUCAUUUCCCAAGUAGCUGGAAAGUUCUCCAGAGGCCCUUCAUUUCCCAAGUAGCUGGAAAGUUCUCCAGAGGCCCUUCAUUUCCCAAGUAGCUGGAAAGUUCUCCAGGGGUCCUUCAUUUCCCAACGAGCUGGAAAGUUCUCCAGAGACCCUUAAUUUCCCAAGUAGCUGGAAAGUACAAGCUGGGUGUUGGAUGGGCGUUAUUUGAUUUUUUGUUUACACUGUCAGCCAACCUGCCCUGCACCCUUCCAAUGCUGCUCCGCAUCUCCACCUUUCCUGGGAGGCCAAGCCAGGCUAUAGCGAAGUGAUCAAUUUUAUGAUCAUCUCUGCCCUACGUCUGUGAGGGCCUGGCACUGAAGGGGUUCCAAAGACAUAUCAAAGGGGAAAACAACUUGGAGUCUGAGAACAGCUAAAAAGGUGGAUUUUAUUUUCGUUGAAGAGAUCGUGAUUUUUUUUUUUUCCUACAAAUGGACCGGAUCAACCAUUGCACUAUGAUGGAGGGAAAAAAGACGGAAACAGGGACUUGAAGAUUUAUGAAUUGAUGCAGAUGGCAGUGAGGUGGAGGCUAUAGAGACCUGCCAUGUUUGUAUGCCGUAUGGUGAUACUGGGAAAGAUUAUGUCAUGGGAGAAAAUUGUGGCCAAUCAUGCCCAGCCAGCCAGUCAUCUUCACUUUUACUACUGGUUUCCCAUGUAUUAACCUACUACUGCUUUUGGAGAGAUGGCACUCUUAUUCCUCAUAGUUCCUACCCCCAGGGACACGGGGGGUUCUGGAGUUGUACAGUUUACACAUUAUAGCUCAACAGGGGGAAGUUGAGACAAAUACUUUUUUCUUAAAGGUUAAUGAUGUAAGGGGAGUGUGAGAGCCUUGUAAAUAUUAUAAAUAUUUAAAGACUUAACAAUGCUGGGAGAUGAACUUGCAUAACUAAGAGAAGUGGCAGUAAGAAGAAUGGUCACUCCCGGUGAUGGUUUUCACAGACAUAUUGUUUUAAACAUGAAUCUGUGCCAAAAUGACUUUUAAGAUGAUGCAGUCAAAAAAAGGAAUUAAAAUCAAAUCUUAUUUUCAUACUUGACUUUGUAUUUGUCACUUACUCAUAAUUGCUUCUAGCUUGACUGUCUUGUUUUAACGGUUUACUUAAUUUUAUCCCUCUUUGCUACUCUGUCUUGUCUAUUUUGAAAAAAAAAAAAGUGCUAUAAGCCAUUCUGUAAGUUGAUCGUUUACAGUAACUCUUGACAUCUGGUGAAUGUUUCCUGAACCACAAUUUCCCUUGAAUGUCUGCCCCUGUAAAACAUACGUGUUAAGCAAAAGUAGGAAGCGAAAGGGGUGACUGUACGAUAACAAUGCCAUACUUGAGUUUGAAACAUUCUUAUAGACUUUCAAGGAAAAGAAAUUGGGAAGGGAAAAAGCAAUGGGACUCAAGCAGAGCCAAUAGUGGAUGUGUGAGCUCUAUGUCUCUCAACCGUGGUGUAAAUAGUCAUUUAUCCCUUCUGUGUCUUUUUUAAUGUUUUAUUUUUCAGGGUCAAUUUGUUUUGUCAGACAAAACAAAGCAGUCUGAAAAAGACAGAACUAAGUGUAAACCGAUGUCGAAAGUAAACCAUGUUUCUCAGUUUUGUGGUGUAAAUAUUUGUAUGACUGCAGGCUGACACCUCUAUUGUUGAAGGCACUUAUAAUUUUGAUACAUAAAUAAAAAAAAAAUCAAACAAACAACAGAAAAACAAACAGAACAAUCUUAAACAUUGUCCCUGUACCCAAUUUCAUUUUGAGUGUAAUAUAUUGUUCCUCUAUGAGGUUAUUUUAAGAUGUUUUGUAAAAUAAAACGUUGGUUUAUACAAUCCACCGAUCAUUAAAUGAUCAGUGACUACAUUUUAAUUUUGAAGUGUUUGCGACAUUUGUCAGAACUCUUAAGCAAAAGCAUUAAACUAGAAUGUUUACACUUUUGAA